rnacentral:misc_RNA from 1 species
GUGAAGAACGUAGCGAAAUGCGAUAAGUAAUGUGAAUUGCAGAAUUCAGUGAAUCAUCGAAUCUUUGAACGCACAUUGCGCCCGCCAGUAUUCUGGCGGGCAUGCCUGUUCGAGCGUCAUUUCAACCAUCAAGCCCCCGGGCUUGUGUUGGGGACCUGCGGCUGCCGCAGGCCCUGAAAAGCAGUGGCGGGCUCGCUGUCACACCGAGCGUAGUAGAUUUUAUCUCGCUCAGGGCGUGCUGCGGGUUCCGGCCGUUAAACCACCUUCAUAACCCAAGGUUGACCUCGGAUCAGGUAGGAAGACCCGCUGAACUUAAGCAUAUCAAUAAGCGGAGGA